GACGAACGCUGGCGGCGUGCUUAACACAUGCAAGUCGAACGGAAAGGCCCUGCUUUUGUGGGGUGCUCGAGUGGCGAACGGGUGAGUAACACGUGAGUAACCUGCCCUUGACUUUGGGAUAACUUCAGGAAACUGGGGCUAAUACCGGAUAGGAGCUCCUGCUGCAUGGUGGGGGUUGGAAAGUUUCGGCGGUUGGGGAUGGACUCGCGGCUUAUCAGCUUGUUGGUGGGGUAGUGGCUUACCAAGGCUUUGACGGGUAGCCGGCCUGAGAGGGUGACCGGCCACAUUGGGACUGAGAUACGGCCCAGACUCCUACGGGAGGCAGCAGUGGGGAAUACUGCACAAUGGGCGGAAGCCUGAUGCAGCAACGCCGCGUGCGGGAUGACGGCCUUCGGGUUGUAAACCGCUUUCGCCUGUGACGAAGCGUGAGUGACGGUAAUGGGUAAAGAAGCACCGGCUAACUACGUGCCAGCAGCCGCGGUGAUACGUAGGGUGCGAGCGUUGUCCGGAUUUAUUGGGCGUAAAGGGCUCGUAGGUGGUUGAUCGCGUCGGAAGUGUAAUCUUGGGGCUUAACCCUGAGCGUGCCUUCGAUACGGGUUGACUUGAGGAAGGUAGGGGAGAAUGGAAUUCCUGGUGGAGCGGUGGAAUGCGCAGAUAUCAGGAGGAACACCAGUGGCGAAGGCGGUUCUCUGGGCCUUUCCUGACGCUGAGGAGCGAAAGCGUGGGGAGCGAACAGGCUUAGAUACCCUGGUAGUCCACGCUGUAAACGGUGGGUACUAGGUGUGGGGUCCAUUCCACGGGUUCCGUGCCGUAGCUAACGCUUUAAGUACCCCGCCUGGGGAGUACGGCCGCAAGGCUAAAACUCAAAGGAAUUGACGGGGCCCCGCACAAGCGGCGGAGCAUGCGGAUUAAUUCGAUGCAACGCGUAGAACCUUACCUGGGUUUGACAUGGAUCGGGAGUGCUCAGAGAUGGGUGUGCCUCUUUUGGGGUCGGUUCACAGGUGGUGCAUGCCUGUCGUCAGCUCGUGUCGUGAGAUGUUGGGUUAAGUCCCGCAACGAGCGCAACCCUUGUUCACUGUUGCCAGCACGUUAUGGUGGGGACUCAGUGGAGACCGCCGGGGUCAACUCGGAGGAAGGUGGGGAUGACGUCAAGUCCUCAUGCCCCUUAUGUCCAGGGCUUCACGCAUGCUACAAUGGCUGGUACAGAGAGUGGCGAGCCUGUGAGGGUGAGCGAAUCUCGGAAAGCCGGUCUCAGUUCGGAUUGGGGUCUGCAACUCGACCUCAUGAAGUCGGAGUCGCUAGUAAUCGCAGAUCAGCAACGCUGCGGUGAAUACGUUCCCGGG
rnacentral:rRNA from 1 species